rnacentral:pre_miRNA from 1 species
GUAGUAUUCCCUCCGUCCCAAAAUUCUUGUCUUACAUUUGUUUAGAUACAGAUGUAUCUAACACUAAAAUGUAACUAGAUACAUCCGUAUUUAGACAAAUUUAAGAAAAGAAUUUUGGGACGGAGGGAGUACAAA